rnacentral:ribozyme from 1 species
CGGAAGGUCCGAGGGAGGCCCGAAGAGCCUCCCACGGGCCGUCCGUCGGACUCCGCAGGGGGUGAGAGCGCACCAGAAACCACCCACUGGGGGUGGAAGCAAGCGAGCAA